rnacentral:rRNA from 1 species
GACGAACGCUGGCGGCGUGCUUAACACAUGCAAGUCGAACGGAAAGGCCCUGCUUUUGUGGGGUGCUCGAGUGGCGAACGGGUGAGUAACACGUGAGUAACCUGCCCUUGACUUUGGGAUAACUUCAGGAAACUGGGGCUAAUACCGGAUAGGAGCUCCUGCUGCAUGGUGGGGGUUGGAAAGUUUCGGCGGUUGGGGAUGGACUCGCGGCUUAUCAGCUUGUUGGUGGGGUAGUGGCUUACCAAGGCUUUGACGGGUAGCCGGCCUGAGAGGGUGACCGGCCACAUUGGGACUGAGAUACGGCCCAGACUCCUACGGGAGGCAGCAGUGGGGAAUAUUGCACAAUGGGCGGAAGCCUGAUGCAGCAACGCCGCGUGCGGGAUGACGGCCUUCGGGUUGUAAACUGCUUUCGCCUGUGACGAAGCGUGAGUGACGGUAAUGGGUAAAGAAGCACCGGCUAACUACGUG